rnacentral:rRNA from 1 species
GUAGGGAAUAUUGGGCAAUGGUCGGAAGACUGACCCAGCCAUGCCGCGUGCAGGAAGACGGCCCUCUGGGUUGUAAACUGCUUUUAUCUGGGAAGAAAAAGGCCAUGCGUGGCAAAUUGCCGGUACCAGAUGAAUAAGCACCGGCUAACUCCGUGCCAGCAGCCGCGGUAAUACGGAGGGUGCGAGCGUUGUCCGGAGUUAUUGGGUUUAAAGGGUGCGUAGGCGGCUGAUUAAGUCAGCGGUGAAAGACUUCGGCUUAACCGGAGCAGUGCCGUUGAUACUGGUUGGCUUGAGUGUCGGAGGGGUACAUGGAAUUGAUGGUGUAGCUGUGAAAUGCAUAGAUACCAUCAGGAACACCGAUAGCGAAGGCAUUGUACUGGCCGACAACUGACGCUGAUGCACGAAAGUGUGGGGAUCGAACAGGAUUAGAAACCCUUGUAGUCC